rnacentral:lncRNA from 1 species
CCAAAUUAUUUUUAAAUAACAAGAUAAACAAAUCCACUGGCGAUCUAACAAAAAUAAUUGCUAUUGCAAGAUCUACUACUAGCGCCACUGUCACCAACAAAAACUACCACCACCACCAUUCCCGCAACCAUCAACACCACCACACCGCUGCCACCACUGCACCAAAAACACCACACAAAAAUCUCCUGCUAUAUCGAAAAGCCCUAAAAUCUCUUGCAACUUCAUUAUCCAACUCCAAUACUUCUAUUCAAAUCACAAAACAUUCACCAGUCACCCCCAACAAUUCUCAAGCUACAGUCUUCCUCUAUAAAUUUCAUAGAUUAUUUCAUUAAAAAAAAACUAUGGUGACGAUUAUUGGAGUUUGUGGUGAUGGUUGGUCAGAUCUGCAGCAAACAGAAAGAAAUCUCGUCGACAGCUGCGUGCAACCUCACAUGGCACUGCAUCUUCCCUCCUUUUUUGUUUCGACUACCUUCCAUCUCUUCUAGAGUAUUUUUGCAGGCUGUAAUUGUAAGGUAGGUAGAUGGAGAGAGAAGUGUAGAGAGAACAGAUUGAGAAGAUGAAGAGAGGAAGAAAAUGGUUGAAAUGGUUUUAGGAUCUGGAAGAAAAAAGAGGUGGGUAUCGAGAGAUAUAGAGAGAAAGGAGAGAGGAAAUUAAUUAGUGUUUAGGAU